CCCUUAGAUGUCCGGGGCCGCACGCGCGCUACACUGAAGGAAUCAGCGUGGCUUUCUCCCUGACCCGAAAGGGUUGGGAAACCCGUUGAAUCUCCUUCGUGAUAGGGAUUGGGGCUUGAAAUUGUUCCCAAUGAACGAGGAAUUCCCAGUAAGCGCGAGUCAUAAGCUCGCGUUGAUUACGUCCCUGCCCUUUGUACACACCGCCCGUCGCUACUACCGAUUGAACGGUUUAGUGAGGGCCUCGGAUUGGUCUCGGCCCGCUCUUUACCGGGCGGCGCCGUUGGUCGAGAAGACGCUCGAACUUGAUCGUUUAGAGGAAGUAAAAGUCGUAACA
rnacentral:rRNA from 1 species